UAAUGAUUGUGAGGGAAAUUUCUGAACAUACUUUUAAAUCUCUCCCAAGCUUAGUAGAGAUUCUCUCCUUUUUUAUGUGUGAAACUCAGAAUCUCGUUUCUCAAUCG
rfam:Capsicum annuum cultivar Zunla-1 chromosome 4, whole genome shotgun sequence